CUUCAGAAUUCUGCUAUUGUUUCUGCCAGCCAUGGGGUUUCACUCAUUCUGAAGAUGUCCCCGGGGAUUUCGGAAUGUGUGUUCCUAACUUCCUGAUUUUAUGCCAUAUUCCAGCCCACCUGGCUGAUGAAACAUGUCGUGACAUGGGAGCACUUCAGAUCUUCACAUACCUUGCUCUUGAGGAUCUCGGCUAUUGUUGCACGUGUAUGUAAAUGUUAACAAGAAAGAUCAAUGGAGGCAAAAAACCAGGAGAUCCCAUAAAUCCUGUCAAGCCUGUCAUAGCUGCCAAAUUAUGCCCUGAUAAAGCUUUUGGUGGCUAACGAUAUGGCCCUUCACCCAGCGUGGAUGCAACUGGGAGGGGGCUUUCUGGAGAUGAUCUGACCUGAGGUGGAGACACUUGUCAUGGAGUGUUACCUGAAGGCUCUUUGGCUCUAAUGAAGGGUGAAGCUUUGAACAUGAUUACUUCUAAACAAAUAAUAAUUAGAAAAUAAACAAAGAUCUGGA